GACAGACAGUAAACCUCUUCUAAUUAAUGUGCUUAGAUAGGCACUUUGAUACAGACUGAAUGAAUAAGAAAAUGAAACAACAUAGCUGGCUCUGUAAGAUGGAGGGGAUGGAGAGAAACUCUGGGUUUGUUGAAUAAUAUUUGCCAGUGUGAAGGUCAGAGUUACCUCUCUUGAACUGAAAGCUCAGUUUCCAUCAUUUAAGGGUUGACAAAAAUCAGAGUUCUGAUAUCAACUGAAUUCACGUAUCAUGUUUUUGCAGGCAUCAAACCAAAGGAAGAGAGCAGCAGCUUUGCAGGGACUGCCAUGGUACAUGAAGGAAAAUCCUUCUACAUUGAUGAAGAGAUGUGAGCCAACAGAUCCUGGGGAGGACGUCAUCGAGGGAAUGGUGAUUGGAAUCCUUUUGGUCGUUGAAGAUGUGAAGGAGCCCCUUCCAGUUUCCUACUACGAUGUUGCCAUCGUCAUCGAGGAAAAGAUUGUCAUGCGUCAUCUGGGUGAUGUACCCAACGCUUUUGUGAACCUGAUGGGCCUGCUGUACAUGCUGAACCUUGACUAUCCAAAAGAUUUGAAAUAUACUUUUGAGGUGAUUCAGCGCCUGUUCAUGGGAAUCGGGUCCGAGAUGUGCACUCCUAGGGUCCACUCUCUAAAGAAUAAACUGCUCAGUUAGAGGGAUGGCUCAGGAGAAUGUUUCUGCAUUUGGCCCUGAGGAAGUGUUCUCAUUUUUUUGCCAUUUGUCCAUUGCACUAUGUAGUAAGAGGAAAAGAAAUAUAAAGCCCUUCUGUGGGUCACAGUUUUUUAUGUUUUCAUGUUCUAACAGAUCUCUAUUGCUCUCUGUGGAGGAAAUGUCUCUUGCAGACACUAAUUUGUAUUUUAUAUUGUAGAGCAAACAUAUGAACAGAGUGGAGAUUUCAGUAAUGUUUGAACGAAUGAAUGUUAAUUUUCUGGCUGACAUUUGAGCAAGUUUCUCAGAGAGAUACAAUUUUAUAUGUAUAUCUUUCUGCAUUUACUGCAACAAUGCUGAACACUCACUUAGAAUGGAUCAAGAUGUAGAUGUUGAUCAAGUCACUUAGAGAGUUGUUUUUUUUUUUCCCUCAAAGGAAGGAUGCUCUUUUUUUUUUUUUUUCUUACAAGCAGGACACAGUGUAAUUCAGUUUUUGACCAGACCUUAAAGAGUCUGAAGAGCAUGGAUGUUUAAGAGGGUGUGAAAGCUUUUUUUGUCUGCAUGUCCCAGAGGAAGAAUUCUCAUUUUUUACACUAUUUAGUAAGAGGAGAUGAAAUGUAUUGCCCUUCUGUUGGUCACACCACCUUGUUUUCAUAUUCUGACUCAUUUCUAUUGCUCUGUUUGGAGGAACACUAAUCCAUGUGAUGUUACAGAGAAAUUGUCAAGAGAGUGGACAUUUCAGUAAUGUUUUAAUGUUUUCAUUUUCAACAUUUUGAGCAAGUUUCUCAGAUACGUUUUUUUAGUUUUUUAUGAAUUUCUUUCUGCAAUUUACUGCAGCAACUCUGAACAUUCACUCAGAAUGGACUCAGUUGAACUCGGAGAGUUAUUGUUUUUCCCCAAAGGAAGGGUGCUCUUCUUUUUAUGUAUUAUAUUAUUAUUUAUGUGUGGGACAGUGUAAUUUCAGUUUGUGAGCAGCCCCAAGCAAAAGUGUGUUAGAGGGUGAAAAGGCUAUUUAUUUUAACAUGUCCCAAGGAAGAUUUUUUUUUUUUUUUUUGCGUCUCGACAUCCAUUGACUAUUAUUUUGAAGCAAGGCUGGUUGAAGUUGGACUUGUUGGGGUUUUAAUAAAGGUCCUUAUUGAAUUGUCUUUUCAGCUAUUUUUUUCAUGUGUUAACAUUUAAGUUUGACUGGCUAAUUUCUGUAAACUCAAGUAAUAGAGCAUGAGAAAAAAAUAAUGUUUCCCUAACUUGAUAAAAUAAGUUCAACCAACAUCUUUUUUAUUUCUCUUAAGUAAUGUUUUCCAGUCCACAUUACUUGAUACAGAAAAUUGAGUCAACAAAUCGCGAGUUGUAUCAAUUAUGUAUUCCAUGUUGAGCCAACUUGAUUCACAGUUGUAGGAACUUGAUAAAAUAAAUUCAACCAACAUCUCUUAAAGUUAUCUCAAAAAAUAUUUUCAAGUCCAACUUACUUGAUACAGGAAGUUGAGUCAACAGAUUGCAUGUUGCAUCAACUCGUGUUUUGAAGUGUAAUAAACUUGACACUAUAAGUUGACUCAAAUUAACUCAGUCAAAGCAACAAGAUGACUUGACUUAGUUAAGUUGAGUCAACUAAUCUUUUUUUACAGUGCAUGUCCUGAUCAAAGAUAACUCCAAGAUUCCUGACAGUGGUGCUAGAGGCCAAGGUAAUGCCAUCUAGAGUGACUAUAUCUUUAGACAGUGAGUCUCUAAGGUUUUUGGGGCCAAGAACAAGAAUUUAGUUUUUUUCUGAGUUUAACAUCAGAAAAUUGCAGCUCAUCCAGGAUUUUAUGUCAUUAAGACAUGUUUGUAAUUUAGAUAAUUGAUUAA
rnacentral:lncRNA from 15 species